rnacentral:rRNA from 1 species
GAGCGCUCGUAGCAAUACGAGAGCGGCAGACGGGAGAGUAACACGUGGGAACGUACCCUUCGGUUCGGAAUAACCCAGGGAAACUUGGGCUAAUACCGGAUACGUCCGUAAGGAGAAAGAUUUAUCGCUGAAGGAUCGGCCCGCGUCUGAUUAGCUAGUUGGUGGGGUAACGGCCCACCAAGGCGACGAUCAGUAGCUGGUCUGAGAGGAUGAUCAGCCUCACUGGGACUGAGACACGGCCCAGACUCCUACGGGAGGCAGCAGUGGGGAAUUUUGCGCAAUGGGGGAAACCCUGACGCAGCAACGCCGCGUGGAGGAUGAAGUCCUUCGGGACGUAAACUCCUUUCGAUCGGGACGAUUAUGACGGUACCGGAAGAAGAAGCCCCGGCUAACUUCGUG